rnacentral:rRNA from 1 species
GACGAACGCUGGCGGCGUGCUUAACACAUGCAAGUCGAACGGAAAGGCCCUGCUUUUGUGGGGUGCUCGAGUGGCGAACGGGUGAGUAACACGUGAGUACCCUGCCCUUGACUUUGGGAUAACUUCAGGAAACUGGGGCUAAUACCGGAUAGGAGCUCCUGCUGCAUGGUGGGGGUUGGAAAGUUUCGGCGGUUGGGGAUGGACUCGCGGCUUAUCAGCUUGUUGGUGGGGUAGUGGCUUACCAAGGCUUUGCCGGGUAGCCGGCCUGAGAGGGUGACCGGCCACAUUGGGACUGAGAUACGGCCCAGACUCCUACGGGAGGCAGCAGGGGGGAAUAUGGCACAAUGGGCGGAAGCCUGAUGCAGCAACGCCGCGUGCGGGAUGACGGCCUGCGGGUUGUAAACCGCUUUCGCCUGUGACGAAGCGGGAGUGACGGUAAUGGGUAAAGAAGCACCGGCUAACUACGUG